rnacentral:lncRNA from 1 species
CCUAGAGGCCGGAUCCUGGAAUCGCGUCCGUUCAGGAUAACCCCUCUCCGGUCUUGAUGACCCCAAAUUGGCUCCUCCUGGAUGGCUGGGGCAGGUAGCCCGGCGCCUGUCCUCGCGAUGGCAUCGGAGAGUCCCCAGGGACCCCGUCUGAACGUAGCUGAUCAAGUGGGCCCCCCUCUGAGCUUUGAACGGAUGUUUACCAGACAUUUCUCUGCUGGAUCUGACCCAGGACAGGUCUUAAAGGGACAGCACCCACUGUGUCCCUGCUCCCAUCUGCUUUCAAGGUCUGCUGGCAAGACUGAGUGGAUAAGACAUCCACAGCUGGUCCUAGAUGCUGGUCCUGAGCUGAUGGUCCAUCUGACGUGUCCUCAGGAGAGAAUCUGAAUAGGAGAGAGACCUAGAGAAGUAUGACUGAGCCCUGUGUAUACACAAGCCCCACACAGAAGCACGUCUGCAUUUCUUUGCAUGAGGGCACUGAGUCUUUGCCAAGUAGCUCAAGGCCAGUGUCUCAGGCUACAUCUCUAGUGCUGGGAGACUCUUGUGUGUCACUCGUGGCUGAUAGAAGCAGGAGAGUCCGUUAUGCCGGGUUCUCAAAUCCCCAAACAGACCACCCAAGGUGACACUUCCAGUGUAAAAAAACAAAGGUUUCUUUUUAUUGUUUGAGCUAGCAGGGACUUCUAUGCUUAAAAGAGGCAGAAGUACCCAACAAUAACAGGGGUAGGGGUGGGGUGGAGGGGUGGGAGGUGGCCAAGGCUGAGAGCCACAAGUUUACAAAGUUUCCAUGGUUACUCAGGGUCUUAUAAAGUACAAGGUAAAGCAAAAACUGUAUUUCUAGGCAAGAUACAUUUAGGACAGGGGCAUGGGGAGGAAAGGGCAUGGAGUCAGGAGUCUGUCAAUUAUCCCCUGGGCUGGACAUCUUUACAACCAGCAGGGGAUUUUUCACAAGGCAAUCAAUGGCUAUCUGGUUAACACAGGUGGUGGCAGGUUACUCCCCCCCUUUUCUCCUGGAAUGGGGCUCAGGUACCUAAUCACCGCACCCCACUCCUGACACUCCCAGUUAAGGGAUCAAAUUCCUCUCUACCAUUAGAAGUUCCCUUUUUCUCUGCAUAGAUUCAGCGGCCCAGGUUUUUAAACUUUUAAUCAUUUUAAUUUUUGGUCCUUUUAGAGUCCAGUUCAGACCCCCCAACUCUGAACUGUGGGGUUUGGGGUCAUAUCCCAGUCUGUAAAGCAGAAAUGCUCUGAAGAGGGCAUGUGUGGGCCUUGAGGGGUUUGUUUUCAGCCCUCCCAAUGGUACUACUUCCAGAGAGCAGCUUUAUCCUCCUAGCUGAAAAGAAAAGGGCCUCAGGGCUGGGGUGUGAUGGUUCAGUAAAUAAAAUGUCCUUGGCAACAUGAGGGCCUGAGUUCAGUCCCCAGAAUCCUUAUUUAAAAAGCUAGGCACAAGCCAGGCGUUGGUGGCACACACCUUUCAUUCCAGCACUCGGGAGGCAGAGGCAGGCGGAUCUCUAUGAGUUCGAGGCCAGCCUGGUCUCCAGAGCGAGUGCCAGGACAGGCUCCAAAGCUACACAGAGAAACCCUGUCUCAAAAAACAAAACAAAACAAAAAUAAAUAAAAUUAAAAAAAGAAGCUAGGCACAGUUAUGCUUGUAAUCCCAGCGCUAGAGGCAUGUAAUCCCAGCACUGGAGAUAUGGUGACAGGCAGAUUCCUGGGCUCUCUAGGUAGCUUAUCAGCCUAGCCUACUUGGGGAGCUCUAGGCCAGUGAGAAAUCCCAUCUCAACAUAACGGUUGGUGGCACCUGAGACCCUAGGCACAGGUAUUGUCACAGUGAAUACUUCAAUAUGGAUAUAAGGUGGCUGUUAUCCUUGGUGGUUCAGAGACUAAGAUGCAACCACGCUAGCUUUGGGAGAGAUGGGUAUCCCACACACAGGCCUUACAAGCCACUGCACUAUGCCACAGAGGCCCUUCAGGAAAGGUUGCGGCCUUCCCUCUAUCCACGUGUCCUAGGAACCUGGGUGAACUACUGUGUUCUAGACCCCCAUGCAGCACAGAGGUGUGACUUGACUAAUGAGGGCACAGUGAAGACCUUAAGUGGUUAGACAUCGGUGGGACAGAUCAUGUCUUCACAGCAGAAAGACCUGGGAAGCACCCCCACGCUCCUAUCCCCAAGGGGCCUUGAGGCAGGAGUAUCAUUCCAUCUCGCAGAGGGAGAGAUUAGGUCAAGAACUGGUGUGGCAUGCCCUAGUGGCACUAUUCCCGGCCCUGCUAAGGCUGUCAGGGCACAGAGGCAGGGGAGUAGUGCUUGGUCCUCAGCCCCACACUCCUGAGUUUAGCUUCAUUCAUGAAUUCUUCCUUCCUGCUGCCUGGGAAAUGAAUGUAAUAACAGCCACGUUGUACCUUGAGAAUAUCUUGAUCAUGGGAACCUUGGCUAGCAGAGCCAAAGAUGGUGGUGGCGCACACCUUUAAUCUCAGCACUCAGGAGGCAGAGGCAGGAGGAUCUCUGUGAGUUCGAGGACAGCCUGGUUUAUAGAGUGAGUGCCAGGACAGCCAAGGCUACACAGAGAAACCCUGUCUCAAAAAAACAAAACAAAAAAGGAAGCAGCCUGUGUUUCCAGUAACUGGAGCACAAGCUCUGCCCAGCUUCCCCUCUCCAGACUUCUUACUGUACGAAAAACAAAUUUUUUUUUGUUUUGAGAUUGCUGUAAUUUAGUCUUUUUUCUGACACUCACUGGCUAAACUCAACUAUAGUUUUAAAAUCUAAACACUUGGUGGGGAUGGUAGUAUUUACUCUCUUAGCAUGAGACUGUGGGCUGGACACUAGCAUCAUUAAAACCAGUAGUGGCAAAAACCAGUAGCACAUGCCUGUAAUCCCAGUACCCGGAAGGUGUAGGCAGGAGGAUUAUAAAGGCCAGUCUGGGAUACAUGAGCUCUUGUCUUAAAAAACAAACAAACCAAAACAAAAAGACAAGUCAAAACCCUUUGGUGGGAAAGGCUUCCCAUGCCUCAGAUACGCCCUGCCUUUGCUCUUCCUUCCUUUUGUUCCUUUGAGACCUUACAACCUGAGGGCCAUUGUGCUUCUGCCCAGUCUCCAGUGACUGGCUGUCACCUGACAGCCAUGCACACCUGUUCCCCGGGGACCUCCCUGUACCUGGGUAUGGGCCUAAAAUCACAGUAUUUGUGUGUUUGUGCAAGUGUCAUGUGCCCCAUCCUGACCGGUGUCUGGCCACAGCCUGGAAGGAAAGGCACCUGAGAGUUCAGAUGCUGACUGUCUGCCUUCUGGUGUCCGCCUGGGGCAUGGCCUGGCCACAUCCUCCAUCCAUCCCCUAGGCACGGUGCCAGGUGUCCCUUGGCCCAGGCUGUGAUCAGCAAACCACUAAUGAUAGGGGCUGCCUGGCCCUAUCUUAUUCUUGGCCCUGAC